rnacentral:lncRNA from 1 species
AGUGCUUCCAGCGUGGUUCAAGGAGCCAGUCCUGCCCUGGCAGUGGCUGCCUGCUUCUCGGGCCUCACCCUGCUGGCCUCGGCAGCCAGAGUUGGCAGGUCUGCAUUUGAGGUCUGAAAAUGUACAUUUCUAACAAGUGUCCAGAUGCUGCUGCUGCUUGUCUGAGAGCACACUUUGGGAUCCAUGGCCUGUCAGCAGAGUGACUUUCCCCUAG